GCCUUUACUGCCUCUCUCCAGCCAGCUCCAGCACUACAGGACAGGUAGAGACACAGCAGACAUCGGAAAGAUUUCUUUAAGGCCACCGAGGAGAAAUGAAACUUGGAGAUUGGAAUUAAAUGUCACGUGGAAAAAAGCCAACAUGGCAUUCUGUUAAGAAGAUAGACAACCUAAGUGACGUCUAUCCUGCUUCAAAGACAAAACUCAGGAGGCUGUACAUUCAUUUAGAGCAGAGUAGACGAAACCUCCUAUUCUCUGGCUUGGGAACCAGGAGGAAUCACUGACUGAGAUUUGCCAACCAGACCUCUAUGAAGUGAGCUCUAUCACAUGGUACGUUUAUGAGAAGAGGAACCAGCAAUGUUUCCUUCCAUCUUCAACUAUACUAACAAGAUCCAUCU
rnacentral:lncRNA from 1 species